rnacentral:rRNA from 1 species
CCUACGGGGGCAGCAGUGGGGAAUAUUGGACAAUGGGCGAAAGCCUGAUCCAGCCAUGCCGCGUGUGUGAAGAAGGCCGUCGGGUUGUAAAGCACUUUCAGUGGGGAAGAAAGCCUUGGGGCUAAUACCCUCGAGGAAGGACAUCACCCACAGAAGAAGCACCGGCUAACUCCGUGCCAGCAGCCGCGGUAAUACGGAGGGUGCGAGCGUUAAUCGGAAUUACUGGGCGUAAAGCGCGCGUAGGCGGUCUGAUAAGCCGGUUGUGAAAGCCCCGGGCUCAACCUGGGAACGGCAUCCGGAACUGUCAGGCUAGAGUGCAGGAGAGGAAGGUAGAAUUCCCGGUGUAGCGGUGAAAUGCGUAGAGAUCGGGAGGAAUACCAGUGGCGAAGGCGGCCUUCUGGACUGACACUGACGCUGAGGUGCGAAAGCGUGGGUAGCAAACAGGAUUAGAUACCCCUGUAGUC